CACAGAACGCUGAGCCGUGAAGCCGUUGCCCGGGUAAUAACACUUCAAAAAUACGGGGAUGAUGGAAACGCUGUGGGUCGGAAGGGUUUCCUCGGAUCCGGGGGCCGAUGCUCCCCGCAGUGCUCUAGGCACGGCUCCCCCAGCUCCCAGCUUCGUUAGCCUGUACUUAACUCAAUACAGCGGCAGGUUCCAUCCCUGUUCCUCAACGCGUCCGCGGGGUUGUUGGCACAGAAGAGAAUGUAAACACUGGGUUCCACCUGCUGGAGCACCUGCUGAGACGCUUUACCUAGAUAGGGACUGGAGGGUUGGAAGGGAACAAAGUGAAAGGUGGAGGUCCUGUGAGACCUGACGGGGAGGCCUGGAUAGAGAGGAAGGCGCGUGAAGAAGAAAGACAGUGAGGAGAGUGAUUCCAGCAUGUGCUCCUGAGGUCCCAAACAAAUCUCUGACCAGGCUGCUGUGAAUGAAGCUUUACUCCCACAGUAUUAUGAAAGCAAACACAAGCCCAGGGUCAAGUGCUUCUUUUGUUCCAGAAGUUCUUUCCCACGAGUUCAAUCCUGCCAUUAGCAUUGAUUUCCACAGCUUUAAUCUAGGACCUCCUAUCUCAGCUUGUUAAAGAACUGUUCAACUAUGACUUUCCUAUAAUCUUAAAGGGAAAAAUGAGAAGUAAGAGGUGGAAAGGGGGUAAAAAUGAAGUCACCUACUUACCUUUAC